CGCGCAAUUAAAACUAACGUUUAGUUCGCUUUUGAAUUUCUCGCCGAUCGGUUGUGGCAACAAGGGCCCGCUGGAUAAACCGGUUUCGAACUCUUCCGACUGUUUUUUCGAAAACGUGACAGAAGCCCAAGUACGAAGAAGCUCCGCAAAGCCUUUAAUUGAAAAAGGGUGUCAAUAUUAACAUAGAAAAAGUGGCACAAGUGCAUUUCCCACUGUGGCGACUUAAUUAAAGAGUUCCGAACAGACUGUAUAAACCGUAAUCAUGCUGGGCACCUUGUUGUGGAUAUUUUUCGUGGGACUGUUGCUGUGCGCGUUCCUCUUCUCGAAGACCACCAAGGAGUUCCCCAAGUCCUGGUUCGAAUGGAAGACGGAGUUUCGGUACCAGUACAUCGGCAUCGUGGGGUUGGUUCACGAUGCUCAAUAUGCGGCGCGGGAUCGUGUGGCACUUUAUAAGCAACCGGACCGCAUUGCUGUCAUCACCGGAGGCAACCGCGGCAUCGGACUGAGGAUCGUGGAGAAGCUGCUGGCCUGCGACAUGACUGUCGUCAUGGGUGUUCGUGAUCCCCGAAGCGCCGAAGCCGCCGUUGCAUCUAUUGUGGAUUUAAAAGCGAGUAAGGGCAAGCUCAUCUGUGAGCAACUGGACGUUGGAGACAUAAAGUCGGUGAAGGCCUUUGCCCAGCUGAUCAAGGAGCGCUACUCAAAGGUGGACUUGCUGCUGAACAAUGCCGGAAUUAUGUUUGCGCCCUUCAAGCUCACCGCCGAUGGCUACGAGUCGCACUUUGCCAUCAACUUCCUGGGCCACUUUCUGCUCAGCCACUUGCUUUUGCCUCAAUUGAAGGCAGCUGGCAAGGAGGGAAAGAAUGCCAGGAUCGUUAACGUAAGUUCUUGUGUGAAUCUCAUUGGACGCAUUAACUACAAGGAUAUCAACGGAACGAAAUACUACUACCCAGGAACUGCCUACAGCCAGUCGAAGCUGGCCCAGAUCUUGUUCACUCGCCAUCUGCAAACCCUGCUCGAUGCGGAAAACGCACACGUACAAGUGAAUGUGGUGCAUCCGGGCAUUGUGGACACGGACCUGUUCGAGCACUCGGCCACCACAUCGGUGCCCAUCUUCAAGAAGCUCUUCUUCAAGACGCCAGAACGGGGAUCCCGCACAGUGGUCUUCGCGGCCAUCGAUCCAUCCAUCGAGGGUCAGGGCGGCACUUACCUGAGCAACGGCGGCAAGGGCCCCUUCCAUCCGGACGCCAAGAAGCCGGCCAAGUGCGAGCAGCUCUUCCAGUUCUCCUGCGACCUGCUGAAGAUCAAGCAGUACGGAAACGGCGAGCUCUAAAACCCACAUACUCCCUCAGUCUUUUACAAUACUCCUCUACUGGUGCAACGUACUUUUCUAGAUUCCAUCUGCAGCUGGUGUUCUGCACUAUCCGGAUCCUAGGAACUACUGAUGCUAAUCUGGCCGGAGUGCUGUGCCAGGUUUUAAUUAACUUGUCUUCGGUUGAUUGCCAUCAGGGGGACAGCGAAUGCAAUUAAAAGAGCAGCACACUGUGGCAACAAACAUUUUCGAACUGCACUCAACUUUUGGCGGCGGCAGCUUGAAAGGCGACAACAACAGCAACACAGCCACAUCUGCUAUAUGUCAAAUUUACGAAAAAGCAAACAAUUUAAUUUUGUGCGCCUCCUCAAACAAUGAGCGAUUAACAUUCAA